rnacentral:rRNA from 1 species
UACGUAGGGGGCAAGCGUUGUCCGGAUUUAUUGGGCGUAAAGCGCUCGCAGGUGGUUCGUUGCGUCGUGCGUGAAAGACCCCGGCUCAACUGGGGAGGGUCGUGCGAUACGGGCGAACUGGAGGCCAGUAGGGGGAUGCGGAAUUCCGGGUGUAGUGGUGGAAUGCGUAGAGAUCCGGAGGAACACCGGUGGCGAAGGCGACAUCCUGGACCAACACUGACGCUGAGGAGCGAAAGCCAGGGGAGCAAACGGG